rnacentral:lncRNA from 1 species
AAACUAUAGAUACUAUUUCUGCACCUUCAAAAGAAGUUUGAAUCUUGGUGAGAGUUACAGUUUAAAUGGCAUCCUGGAGAAAUGUGUCAUGGAUAGAGAAAGACUAUGAGUUCCUUUCAUCUGAAUCAGCCUUCUUGCAUUUAUCAACCAGAAAAUGAGUAAAAGCUACAGAUGGAAAAAUCCUGAAAUAACUGUGCAUGAUGCAGGUGGGCUGAAAAACUUUUGGGAGAAAAAAAUUGAACAUCAUGCAAAGAAAGUACAAAAUGAAGACUCUCGAAUAAGCAAGAGUGCCCUGGAUAAGCUCCGCUGUGAAUGGGCUCAGAGACUGGAAAGAAGAAUCAAGAUGCUACAGCAGCCUGAGGAAGUAUCCAAGAAGUCAUCUCUAAUCCCUAUUGAAUCUUUCCCCCUUAUUGAUAAAACAGUAGCCUGAAGUUAUAACUAAAAUGACAAAAUAGGGAAAGUGUUGUUUCAUGGGGAAUGAAAGCCCCUUUAGGAAAUUCCUGUGGAGCAGCAAAAAAAUAAAGUAAAAAUGAAUCCCA